CUCGGUAAUAACGUCCCACAGUGACAUGGAUUUGCAUAAAACUUGACAACCAGUGAGCUCCCCUCCUCUAUAUGGUGUCCGUUCUCCACAACGCAGACCAAAGUCAGUUCUCUUCUGGAGGGGAGUGAUGGGAGAUGAUUUUCGCAUAACUACUGUGGACUUUCUUCUGCCUGGAAAGAGAGAGAACAAGAGAACAGAAGGAGGAGCAGGGGGAGAGGAAGAGAGAGAGUUUUCAAGCAGACUCCAAGCUGAGCGUGGAAUCAGACUUGGGGCUCAAUCCCAGGACCUUGACAUCAUAUCCUGACCUGGCUCCUUAAUCAACUGAGCCAUCCAGCCACCCCAGAUCCAUCUAUAUUUUUAUUUAUUUUCAUUAGUUUGAUCAAUUGCUGAAAAAUAAUAUUAAAAAAUCUUCAACUAUGAUUAUAGAAUUGUUUAUUUCUCCCCUUGAUUCUGUCAUUGUCUCCUGAAUUUUGAAGCUGUUAUGAGAGGAAAAAACAUAUAUGAAUACUACGGCUUCCUGAUGAUUCUUCCGGACUCUCUUGACAUUGUGAAAAGUCUCUCUUUAUUGCCAGUGCUCUUAAUUCCUUCACAAAGACAGAAUUUCAAUGUGGUGUCAUUUGCC
rnacentral:lncRNA from 1 species